rnacentral:rRNA from 1 species
GACGAACGCUGGCGGCGUGCUUAACACAUGCAAGUCGAACGGUGAAGGGGCCUGCUUUUGUGGGCCCUGGAUGAGUGGCGAACGGGUGAGUAACACGUGAGUAACCUGCCCCCUUCUUCUGGAUAACCGCAUGAAAGUGUGGCUAAUACGGGAUAUUCUGGGUCUGUCGCAUGAUGGGUCUGGGAAAGAUUGCGCCUUUGGGUGUUUUUGGUGGGGGAUGGGCUCGCGGCCUAUCAGCUUGUUGGUGGGGUGAUGGCCUACCAAGGCGGUGGCGGGUAGCCGGCCUGAGGGGGUGGACGAUCACACUGGGACUGAGACCCGGCCCCCUCUCGUACGGGGGGCAGGGGUGGGGAAUACUGCACACGGGAGGCUGGCGUGAUGCAGCGACGCCGCGUGAGGGAUGGAGGCCUUCGGGUUGUAAACCUCUUUCGCCAGUAAAGCAGGCCUGCUACUUGUGGGUGGGUUGACGGUAGCUGGAUAAAAAGCGCCGGCUAACUACGUG